GUCUAUAGUUAUACCACCCUGAACUUGCCCAAUCUUGUCUAAUCUUGGAAGUUAAGUGGGGUUAGGCAUGAUUAGUAUUUGGAUGGGAUCAAUCAAUUUAUUUCUUAAAAAUUACCCAGUUUCUAUUAUAGGCA
ensembl:rRNA 5S_rRNA 5S ribosomal RNA